rnacentral:rRNA from 1 species
UACGUAGGGUGCGAGCGUUAAUCGGAAUUACUGGGCGUAAAGCGCGCGUAGGCGGAUCCGUAAGUCGAUUGUGAAAUCCCUGGGCUUAACCUGGGACGUGCAGUCGAAACUACGGACCUUGAGUGCCUGAGAGGAUGGCGGAAUUCCCGGUGUAGUAGUGAAAUACGUAGAUAUUGGGAAGAACACCUGAGGCGAAGGCGGCUAUCUGGCGGUGCACUGACGCUGAGGCGCGAAAGCGUGGGGAGCGAACAGG